rnacentral:tRNA from 3 species
AGGACACUAGCUCAGCUGGUUAGAGCACCGGACUUUUAAUCCGGGUGUCGAAAGUUCGAAUCUUUCGUGUCCUA